rnacentral:rRNA from 1 species
UGGGAACGUGCCCAAAGGUACGGAACAACUCCGGGAAACUGGAGCUAAUACCGUAUGUGCCCGAAAGGGGAAAGAUUCAUCGCCUUUGGAUCGGCCCGCGUCUGAUUAGCUAGUUGGCGGGGUAAUGGCCCACCAAGGCGACGAUCAGUAGCCGGCCUGAGAGGGCGAUCGGCCACACUGGAACUGAGAUACGGCCCAGACUCCUACGGGAGGCAG